GCCUACGCCUAUGCCCUGAAUGGUUUUGCCUAGGUUUUCUUCUAGGGUUUUUAUGGUGUUAGAUCUUACAUUGAAAUCUUUAAUCCAGCUUGAGUUAAUGUUUGUUUACGGUG